rnacentral:rRNA from 1 species
CCUACGGGGGGCUGCAGGGAAGAAAAUGACGGUACCUGACUAAGAAUCCCCGGCUAACUACGUGCCAGCAGCCGCGGUAAUACGUAGGGUGCAAGCGUUAUCCGGAUUUACUGGGUGUAAAGGGAGCGUAGACGGCUUGGCAAGCCAGAUGUGAAAGGCUGGGGCUCAACCUCAGGACUGCAUUUGGAACUGUCAUACUAGAGUGUCGGAGAGGCAGGUGGAAUUCCUGGUGUAGCGGUGAAAUGCGUAGAUAUUAGGAGGAACACCAGUGGCGAAGGCGGCCUGCUGGACGAUGACUGACGUUGAGGCUCGAAAGCGUGGGGAGCAAACAGGAUUAGAUACCCCAGUAGUC